rnacentral:rRNA from 1 species
CCUACGGGUGGCUGCAGUCGAGAAUCAUUCACAAUGGGGGAAACCCUGAUGGUGCGACGCCGCGUGGGGGAAUGAAGUUCUUCGGAUUGUAAACCCCUGUCAUGUGGGAGCAAAUUAAAAAGAUAGUACCACAAGAGGAAGAGACGGCUAAAUCUGUGCCAGCAGCCGCCGUACUACAAAGGUCUCAAGCGUUGUUCAGGAUCACUGGGGGUAAAGCGUGCGUAGGCUGUUUCUUAAGUCGUGUCGGAAAGACGCGGGCUCAACCCGCGGACGGCACAUGGUACUGCGAGAUUAGAGGAAUGCGGGGGGAAUGGGAAAUGUCGGUGUAGCAGUGAAAUGGGAAGAUAUUGAGAGGGACACUCGAGGGGAAGGCGGGUACCUGGACAUUAACUGACGGUGAGGCAAGAAGGCCAGGGGAGUGAAAGGGAUUAGAUAACCCUGGUAGUC